UUUGAUGGAACCGAGCCAGAGCGGCCGCUCGGCGGGGCGAGCCUGGCCAUAGGUGGCGAGGAGGGCACGGGCUUC
rnacentral:antisense_RNA from 1 species